GUCGAGCGGUAGCACAGAGAAGCUUGCUUCUUGGGUGACGAGCGGCGGACGGGUGAGUAAUGCAUAGGAAUCUGCCCGAUAGUGGGGGAUAACCUGGGGAAACCCAGGCUAAUACCGCAUACGUCCUACGGGAGAAAGGGGGCUCCGGCUCCCGCUAUGGGAUGAGCCUAUGUCGGAUUAGCUAGUUGGUGAGGUAACGGCUCACCAAGGCAACGAUCCGUAACUGGUCUGAGAGGAUGAUCAGCCACAUCGGGACUGAGACACGGCCCGAACUCCUACGGGAGGCAGCAGUGGGGAAUAUUGGACAAUGGGCGCAAGCCUGAUCCAGCCAUGCCGCGUGUGUGAAGAAGGCCCUCGGGUUGUAAAGCACUUUCAGCGAGGAAGAACGCCUAGCGGUUAAUACCCGCUAGGAAAGACAUCACUCGCAGAAGAAGCACCGGCUAACUCCGUGCCAGCAGCCGCGGUAAUACGGAGGGUGCAAGCGUUAAUCGGAAUUACUGGGCGUAAAGCGCGCGUAGGUGGCUUGAUAAGCCGGUUGUGAAAGCCCCGGGCUCAACCAGCCAACGGCAUCCGGAACUGUCCUGCUAGAGUGCAGGAUAUUAAGGUAGAAUUCCCGGUGUAACGGCGAAACGACCAGAUCAACGUCAGG
rnacentral:rRNA from 1 species